UUGCUGCAUCUUGCAGAGCUCACACUGAAUAGCCUCAUCAAGUUGUUUUGGAAAUGGGUAAGUGUAACAGAGAGAAUAUUUAAUUGGUCAAGCCCAAGGAAACAGCACAGUACACAAGAAAGCUGCACAGUAUGUAGGCAGUCAGCUUUAUCCAGCACGCAAUCUUGUUGGCUGUCACUGUAAGAUUGUUAAAGCUUGUGUCCUAGCCAUCACUUGUCAUGAGGAUCUCUACAGAGGCAGGACCAUCUAUGUAUGUUUCUCGCUCUAGCCACCCAGGCUCUUGGGGCUUGUUGGCUCCAGGGGAUGCUGGUGGGCUGCUGCAUGCCUGAGAGAUGGCUGGGGAGGUACCAAAAAAUGAUGAGGUUACAGAGCUGAGAUUGAAGACGCUUUGAAGGCAGGAGUGGUAAUGGGAAAUACUGGAGAAGACUGAAUGUGAGAGGCAGAUUUUGCAGGAGAGGGAAGUAUAGAAGUGGAAAAGGGGGAUACAUGUAUGAGCAGAAGGGAGGUAAGACUGUUGUAUUGCGUGUGGGAAGAGAUUGGGAAUAUAGUGUGUGUUGGAAGGCAGGUCAGAGCUGUAAGGCAGGGGAGGUAUUAGAAUGUUGGUCUGUGUCAGAGGAGAUCCUCCCCAUGCAUCUGAACAAUUUACCAUCCAGUGGCUGAGUAUGCAGUCUGACAACUGACGCACGGUGGCUGCAACCCCAACCCACCAGCUGCUCAGCAAAAGCUGCUGCCUGAGGCUGAGCUGGAUGCACGUGUCUGAUGCCUACCACCAUUAACAAAAUGGUUAACUUACACAUACUCAUCUGUGUUGGCCCAGAGUAAUCUCCAAAUGGAAGAACCUCAUGGCAGGACAAGAUGCCCACCAACAGCACCAGUCAGUUCUGCCCCAGGUGAAAGAAGGAUUCAGCCAAUGGCAUCGCAAGGGCAAAUACUGGGUAUUAAUUUCACAGCUUUUCAUGCUGUAUGGAAGACACAUAGAACUACGUGGCCCCAAUCAGACAGGCAUCCCCAGAAAUACAGCAAAGGAGCAGGAACAUCAGCCAAGGAUAUAAGUGGCUCCCCCUACCUCAUGCACAAAGGCUGCCGCACAGGGGGGCAGAGCAGGAGAACCUUUACCCAGGGGCCAUCCCAUGCUACAACCUUCUCGUAUUGGUGUGGACCAAAGGACAGGGGAGCCAAGCUGUUGACGUCACCUCACCUCAGCCAUAGACAGGGCUCUCUCUCACACCCUCCCUCGCUGCCUGCACAAGGACGUGCUUGGCUGACGGAGGCCAAGCUGCGCUGCCCAGUGACAUCAGCUCUCCCGCCUUGGAAAGCUCUGUUUCACCACAAGAUGAUCUCAUCCAAGAUCUGUAAAGCACCAGUGGAAGAGGUACAGACAUAAAGAAGGUAAUGUUGUAUCCUCUGUACAUCAAUGGUGUUUAAAUAUGUGUUGCUUCUAUCUAUGUUUUUCAUUUGAAAAAUCUUGCUCCAACUUUAAUACUUCCUGGUUUACAAUAAAAAUGUAACCAAUGGUUUGUGUGGUCUUUUUUAAACCUCCAGUGAACCUGACUGAUACUUCACUAAGGGCAAGCUUUCAACCUCUAAUUACGCAGUUUGAGAAAGAAAUUGUUCACUUUCACAAAUCACAGCUCAGUUCUUGCAUUGAGCAACUGUUUGGAAAGGAAAAACAUUCAUGGGAUGUCUUCUGUCAGACCACAGUGCUAGAGAUUCAAGAGAAUCACCAAGAAAAAUGAAGUCAUUGUUAGCUGAUUUCAUACCUAUGCAGUCCGGCCUGGAAGUCCUGCCACCAACGACGUGUGCUACGCGAACAAAAUCUGGGAUUAAUUAAGUGAGAGUGAACUGCUAACCCAUUUGAACUGUCAUGUUGAAGGUCUGGCACAAAGGAUCCAGGAGUUUACAAAGACUAAUCACCAUCGCAGGGUCCUGUGGGCUACUCUUCACACAAGUGCCUCUGUAGUUAAAUGAGGCUUCAAAGUGACUGUUGCACACUGAGAACAACAAAGACAGAGACAAGGAGAUGUUCAUUGGACAUUGAUUUGCUUUUGUUCAAAGACAAUGCUUUGCUCUCUUUAUAAAAGCAAAAAUGAUCUUAGCUUUAAUGUCAUCUGUCUAAUCACAGCUUCACAGCCACUGACAUCCAGUGAGAAUAUAAACUAUACAGGACAGAUUGUUGACUCCUUGUUUAGGAAAGCUAACCAUUCCUAUUUUAAAGUCCCAUUUAUAAUUGUUUUAGACUCCACAAGAGAUUAAUAUCUGGGGUUAUUUUUUCAUGCAGCAUGUCUGCUAUCUGCUUAUUAUAGUGUCAGAAUUUUGAAAGUCACUUAAAUCACCUGGAGAUCUCAGCAGUAAAAUGAGCUCAAUAUAAUGACCAAAAGGAAAUUUCCUGUAAUUUUGUAGUUUGAGCAGUUGCAGCGUAGACUUGGGCGUAGACACUGAACCACUGAAGCAGGGUUCAUGCUGCAAGGUAUACUUAAGAUUACAGGGUUUUUGCAUGGUCUACAAAUACUAUCAGUUUUCUGGGGACUCGUUUUGGGCUCUGAACUAAUAAUUCUAACCUUGCUGGUGUCCUGUGCAUGUGUCAUGUGAUGAGAAAUGAUAUAGUUUCUGAAGGAAUUUUUUUUUUUAGUUUUGUUUUGUGAGCUCUUCAGAAGUUACACAUUAUCAAAGAAAAAGUAUUGUUUACAAUAAGACUAUUGUAAGGUGGUGAAGUCAAAUACACCAAAUAUCCACUCUUACAAACAAAAUUAACUAGGUUUUCAGGAAAGUGAGGUAAUUGCAACAUCCUAGAAGGAUUUGAUUGAAGGAUUUAUGGACUUUUCUGCCACAUUUUCUGGCAACACUGUAAGCAUUAAAUAUAACAACCUCACUUUAAUCUCAUAAUUCCACUCAGCUUGUUUCUUUCUUUUUUCUUUUUUUUUCUUUUUCUGUUAUUUUUCAUUAGUUCUCUUGCAGCCAUAUAUAAGACUUCUUAUCAAGAUCUGAAUCCCAUUUUUUUAUCUGCUUUAUUUGUGUAUGAAGACAAUUAAUACACCAGAGUUCACUGAAAGAAAUUGUAAUAGAUAUCUACUCCACAGCCCAUUAAGACACAAAGGUAAAGAGAGGAUUACCAGCAUUAGGACCACCUGGAAUGUCUUCAGCAUUGAGAAUUCAUCAGAAGAUGGCAUUGCAUCAGUUGGAAAACGCUUUGUGGUUAUGUAUUUGUUUCAAUUGCCUUUCAUUCAGAAGCAAUUUCAGGUCUUUGUGGGAAAGAAGGGCAUACAGGGUUUGUAGAAAAGCUUGAGAACCCAAGAAGCAAAGUUUUGACAACACUGUUUCGCAAGAGAAACUUCAAGGUUUUAUUUCUACUUGAAUUCUGAAAUAAAAUCAAAUUUUAAAAGCAACCCAUGAAAGAGAUGUGACCAAACUUAUCUGAU